AACGAACGCUGGCGGCAGGCUUAACACAUGCAAGUCGAGCGCCCAGCAAUGGGAGCGGCGACGGGUGAGUAACACGUGGGAACAUGCCCUUCGGUACGGAAUAACUCAGGGAAACUUGUGCUAAUACCGUAUACGCCCUUACGGGGAAAGAUUUAUCGCCGAAGGAUUGGCCCGCGUCUGAUUAGCUUGUUGGUGAGGUAAUGGCUCACCAAGGCUUCGAUCAGUAGCUGGUUUGAGAGAGCGACCAGCCACACUGGGACUGAGACACGGCCCAGACUCCUACGGGAGGCAGCAGUGGGGAAUCUUGGACAAUGGGGGAAACCCUGAUCCAGCCAUGCCGCGUGAGUGAUGAAGGCCCUAGGGUUGUAAAACUCUUUCGGCGGGGACGAUAAUGACGGUACCCGCAGAAGAAGCUCCGGCUAACUUCGUG
rnacentral:rRNA from 1 species